AACGAACGCUGGCGGCGCGCCUAACACAUGCAAGUCGAGCGGGAAGCUUUUUAAGGAUUCUUCGGAUGAAUUAAAAAGUGGAGAGCGGCGGACGGGUGAGUAACGCGUGAGAAACCUGCCCUAUACAGGGGGAUAGCCAUUGGAAACGAUGAUUAAUACCCCAUAUGACCACAGUAUCGCAUGAUACAGCGGUGAAAACUCCGGUGGUACAGGAUGGACCCGCGUUAGAUUAGCUAGUUGGUAAGGUAAAGGCUUACCAAGGCGACGAUCUAUAGCCGACCUGAGAGGGUGAUCGGCCACACUGGAACUGAGACACGGUCCAGACUCCUACGGGAGGCAGCAGUGGGGAAUAUUGCACAAUGGGCGAAAGCCUGAUGCAGCGACGCCGCGUGAACGAUGAAGGCUUUCGAGUCGUAAAGUUUCUGUUCUUGGGGAAGAUAACGACGGUACCCAAGGAGAAAGC
rnacentral:rRNA from 1 species